CUUCCAUCCCCCGUCUCCCUUCUCCCCCCUCCCGCCCCCCGCCACCCACCCCACCCCCGCCCGCAGGGUGUCUGGCUUGUGCGUGGAGGUCUGAGACAGUCGCUGUUCUGGCAGCUGUUUGCCUGUUUCUUACGGUUUGUUUGUCCAUGGCUGGGUCAGGCCCAGAAUGACCCCAAAAUUCUCUUGCCUUCUGAGCAACUCAAACAGACACAUGUUUCUCCAGCUCUGCGCUAUUGACACUUUUAACUGGAUAAUUCUUUGUUAUGGAAGUUGUCCUGGGCAUUGUGGGAUGUUUAGCAGCAUCCCUGGUGCUAGUAGCACUACCUCCCUGAGUCAUGACCAUCAAAAAAUGUCUCCAGACCUUGCCAAAUAUACAUCCUGGGCAAAGGGGAGACAAAAUUGUCCAAGGUUUCAAAACACAGUACAGAAUGACCAAAUUUUUAAUCAGCU
rnacentral:lncRNA from 1 species